rnacentral:rRNA from 1 species
GCAGGGUGAGUCGACCCCUAAGGCGAGGCCGAAAGGCGUAGUCGAUGGGAAACAGGUUAAUAUUCCUGUACUUGGUGUUACUGCGAAGGGGGGACGGAGAAGGCUAUGUUGACCGGGCGACGGUUGUCCCGGUUUAAGCGUGUAGGCUGGUUUUCCAGGCAAAUCCGGAAAAUCAAGGCUGAGGCGUGAUGACGAGGCACUACGGUGCUGAAGCAACAAAUGC